rnacentral:pre_miRNA from 1 species
UUAACUAAUUUUUGUGUGGAUGGGAUCGUUUGCGUACGUUUGCCGCUAGGGGCGCUGUUCCAAUUGCAUACAAAACUGAGUUA